rnacentral:rRNA from 1 species
GUUAACGGCGAAGUGAAGCGGCAAAAGCUCAAAUUUUGAAAUCCCUAGGGAGUUGUAAUUUGUAGGCUGGGAGCAGGCAGUACCGAAAAGAAAAAGUCCCUUGGAACAGGGCGCCUUGGAGGGUGAGAGCCCCGUAUUUCUGGACCGGUUCUGUUUUUCCCACGCCAAAGAGUCGAGUUGUUUGGGAAUGCAGCUCAAAGUGGGUGGUAAAUUCCAUCUAAAGCUAAAUAUUGGCGAGAGACCGAUAGCGAACAAGUACCGUGAGGGAAAGAUGAAAAGCACUUUGAAAAGAGAGUGAAACAGUACGUGAAAUUGUUGAAAGGGAAGGGCUUGCAAGCAGACACUUUUUUGGGCCAGCAUCAGUUGAAGGGGAUGGAGAAACAGCGAGGAAUGUAGCUUUCGAGUAUUAUAUCCUUGCUUCAUACAUCCUCCUUCGUCUGAGGCCUGCUUUUAUUAUAGGAUGCUGGCGUAAUGGUUGCAAGCCGCCCGUCUUGAAACACGGACCAAGGAGUCUAACGUCUAUGCAAGUGUUUGGGUGCAAAACCCCAGCGCGGAAUGAAAGUAAGAGGUGCGAGCCCGCAAGGGUGCAGCAUCGACCGACCUUGAGGUACUCCGACGGGUUUGAGUAGGAGCAUAGCUGUUGGGACCCGAAAGAUGGUGAACUAUACCUGGAUAGGGUGAAGCCAGAGGAAACUCUGGUGGAGGCUCGUAGCGGUUCUGACCGUGCAAAUCGAU